GACGAACGCUGGCGGCGUGCUUAACACAUGCAAGUCGAACGGACAGACCCUGCUUUUGUUUGGUUCUUGAUUGGCGCGCGGGUGAGUAACACGUGAGUAAACUGUACUUGACUUUGGGAUAACUUCAGGAAAAUGGGGCUCAUACCCGGUAGGAGCUCCUGCUCCGUGUGGUGGGUAGGUGAGUUUCGGCGGUUGUGGAUGGACUGGCGGGUUAUCCGCUGCUUUGUCUGGUAGUGGCUUACCAAGCCUGUGACGGGUAGCCGGCCUGAGAGGGUGACCGGCCACAUUGGGACUGAGAUACGGCCCAGACUCCUACGGGAGGCAGCAGUGGGGAAUAUUGCACAAUGGGCGGAAGCCUGAUGCAGCAACGCCGCGUGCGGGAUGACGGCCUUCGGGUUGUAAACCGCUUUCGCCUGUGACGAAGCGUGAGUGACGGUAAUGGGUAAAGAAGCACCGGCUAACUACGUG
rnacentral:rRNA from 1 species